ACUCAUUCCUCACACAUCUCACAAAACCAUCAGACCAACUCUCUCUCUUCUCUCUCUCUCUCUCUCUCUCUCUCUCUCGGCGACUCAAGAAACCCAUGCCAGAUCUAUCACCAGAUCCGUUUCAUGAGCAGAUCUGUGAGGAUUCCACCGCCUAUUCCCCUCCGCCUUGUUACCAUGCUUCAAUCGCGGCUUCUCUUUCAUUCCAGGGAUCAUACUUCUCUAAGAAUCGAAAAUUUUAAUUUUUUUAGGGCUUUGCUGAUUUCAGGCAAUCUAGGGUUUUGUAAGUGGAGAUUCUGGCGAUAUAGGGCUUAAACAAGCUGUUUUGAUUUUGGUAAGAACUGAUACUUGUUUUUAUUUGUUUUCCCUUUUUUGAUUUUUGCAGAAGUUUUAUGAGCAUUUGUCAAGCAUGGCGCGAAUAAGGCCCAGGAGUCCUUUACAAUCUGCAUACAAUGAAGACCUUGGCCAACGGCUACAGGCAAAGCUUCUAGCUGCUGAAGAGAAAAGAUCAAGCAUUUUCACAAAAGCUCAGCUACGUCUAGCUAAGCUGGAUCAUAGGAAUUUCAUUGCUGGCACCUGAUGACUCGAAAGGGUUCUACUAUUGCUGGCUAUGUCAUCUAGAAAUGAACCUGCUAUGUCAGCGAACCUGUUUGUGGCCAAGAUUUCGAAAAGGUACUGUGCUUGUUCUUGUGAAUUUUAUGAAUUUUACGGGUCGAGAUGAUAGACACGUUGUUUAAGAGAAUCAACGGUAACGCGUUGUUUAUGAGAAGGACCCCCGUAUAUGGUUUCUUGAUCACAACUAUCAUGAGGCCAUGUUCUCCAUGUUUAAGAGAAACAACGCAAAGAAGCAUGUUGUAGGGUGGUAUAGCACUGGCCCAAAGCUACGGGAGAAUGAUCUCGAUAUUCUUGGUCUAUUUAAUGACAUUGUUGGUCCCCUUUACAAAAGUUACCAUUUAAUGUGGUGACUAAACGAGUGGACACGGAUGAGGGAAAUUGGUCGGGUUGGAACUGGAGAACAGACGGUGACAUAAUGGUUAAUGGUGCCUUCUUUGUGCCGUCUGGUGAUGGGUUGAGCACAAUCUAUGCAAAGGCGUCGAGCUAUGAGCCCAAGUCGGCUGCGCUCGUGACGCAGCUGACCAAGUAUGCUGGAAUCUUUGAUGGACCAAGGUAUGUGUCUACAUAGUACCAUUGGCCGUUAGCCGAGUUGGCGGUCCAGCUCAUUUGGCUAUAUUGUCUCAGCCAUCGGACACGAUCCAUGGUUCGCUUUGGGUCACUGUUCACGGUGAGGUUAUCGAACAAUCGUUUGGGGAGGGGAAUUUGUGUUUUCUGAACACUACAACGGUUCACAGCGGCUACACUUGAACAUGGGAUGCAUCCACCAAUCUCCCCCAAACCCGAAUGGCGCGCACUUAUGGAUGAGUUGGCAGACAUUGCCACUAAUGAAUAUCGGUCCAUAGUUUUUCCGGAGCCCCGAUUCGUCAAAAACUUCCGCGUGGCAACACCUGAGUUGGAAUACGGUCGCAUGAACAUCGGGCGUUAUCCUUCAAAACGAAAGCCGAGUGGUGGGAUUGAAUCAUUUAGAGCGAUCCCGUGGAUAUUUUCAUGGACUCAAACAAGGUUUCAUCUUCCCGUUUGGCUCGGUUUUGGAGCUGCAUUCAAGCAUGCUAUUGAAAGGACUCGAAGAACCUCGAGAUGACAAGAGUGAUGUACAAUGAGUGGCCUUUUUGAGUGAUUCCAAUGCACAAACCUGCAAGAAAUCAUUAAGAUCAUCACAUACGCCUUUUUCAUCUCGAUUGUCUUUUUCACUGGAACUGUAACCGAAGGCAGUUCGAAUAGGCUAGUCAAUGCAUAUCAGUUGUCGUACAAAUUAGGAAUUGGAAAAAUGUACUGCUGCUGAUAGAUUCAUCCUUGGAAGGACGAUAUGCUGAUGAUGAUGCAACUGUGGUGGUGGAACUUGCUUUAAGGUGUCUUCAAUAUGAGGGAAGAGAUCGUCCUGAUGUCAUGUUUCUUCUUACAACAGUGGUACUGGUAUCUCUUCAAAAGUAGAAAGAGGUCAAACCAUGUCUUUUACAAGAUCAUUUGUUUUUAAUUACUUUCUUAUAGCAGUGGUACAGGGAACCACUGAAUGGUUACAUUAUAUCCAGCUUUGUUUGUAACAUGUAUCACUAAAGUAUCUGCAUUGUUCACUUCUAGGGUCAAACACAGUAACUGCAAUUGCUUAACAGAUAAUGUUCAACCUGAUAGCUGUGUUUCUGUGCCUUCUAUUUUGGUUUGUGGCGGGUGAUCUGGUUGUAGCCUUUUGCAGAUCCAAGAGCCAGGAUGUUACCCAAAUAGAUUAAGGAAUUUGGUUGGUUUUAGUAACUAUAAAUGUUCUUAUUAUAAUUUAUAAUCAUAAUGUGGGGUAUCAAUUUGCUUCAGUGGAUAUGGUGGUAGUACUUUGACUUUAAAUGUAAAAUAAACUACUUUGGAUAAUAAUCGGAUUUUUGAUUAAAAUUA